CUGAGAGGGUGAUCGGCCACACUGGGACUGAGACACGGCCCAGACUCCUACGGGAGGCCGCCGUAGGGAAUUUUUGGCAAUGGGGGCCACCCUGACCGCGCACCGCCGCGUGAGUGAAGAAGGUCUUUGGAUCGUAAAGCUCUGUUGUAAGAGAAGAACGAGUGUGAGAGUGGAAAGUCACACUUGACGGAUCUACCAGAAAG
rnacentral:rRNA from 1 species